AAGGGGAACUUCGCCGAGGGCGACACCGUCAACCACGGCGCGGU
rnacentral:sRNA from 1 species